rnacentral:rRNA from 1 species
UACGGAGGGUGCAAGCGUUAUCCGGAUUCACUGGGUUUAAAGGGUGCGUAGGCUGCGCGGAAAGUUGGGUGUGAAAUCCCUCGGCUCAACCGAGGAACUGCGCCCAAAACUGCCGUGCUCGAGGAAGAUAGAGGUAAGCGGAACUUACGGUGGAGCGGUGAAAUGCGUUGAUAUCGUAAGGAACAUCUGUGGCGAAAGCGGCUUACUGGGUCUUUUCUGACGCUGAUGCACGAAAGCUAGGGGAGCAAACGGG